GGCAUUUCUGGCCACAUUCCUGGGCAUUUCCCAUUUUCGUUCCUGUUUCUUCGAGAAAGUGUUUGAAAGAGAGGACAUUUCUGGCCGCAUUCCUGUUCAUUUCCCAUUUUCGUUCUUGUUUGUUCGAGAAAGGGAGAACACUUCUGGCCACAUUCCUGGGCAUUUCCAUUUUUCGUGAUUGUUUCUCGAUAAAGG